GGAGGGUGGCGCGCAGUGGUGCGCAACUGGUCUAGAAAACCAGGCCAUGGUCACCAUGAGGGUUCGACUCCUUCACUCUCCGC
rnacentral:tRNA from 3 species